rnacentral:rRNA from 1 species
AUUGAACGCUGGCGGCAGGCCUAACACAUGCAAGUCGAGCGGAUGAAGAGAGCUUGCUCUCUGAUUUAGCGGCGGACGGGUGAGUAAUGCCUAGGAAUCUGCCUGGUAGUGGGGGAUAACGUUCCGAAAGGAACGCUAAUACCGCAUACGUCCUACGGGAGAAAGCAGGGGACCUUCGGGCCUCGCGCUAUCAGAUGAGCCUAGGUCGGAUUAGCUAGUUGGUGAGGUAAUGGCUCACCAAGGCUACGAUCCGUAACUGGUCUGAGAGGAUGAUCAGUCACACUGGAACUGAGACACGGUCCAGACUCCUACGGGAGGCAGCAGUGGGGAAUAUUGGACAAUGGGCGAAAGCCUGAUCCAGCUAUGCCGCGUGUGUGAAGAAGGUCUUCGGAUUGUAAAGCACUUUAAGUUGGGAGGAAGGGCAGUAAGUUAAUACCUUGCUGUUUUGACGUUACCGACAGAAUAAGCACCGGCUAACUUCGUGCCAGCCGCCGCUGUAACAC